UACGUAGGUGACCAGCGUUGUCCGGAUUUACUGGGCGUAAAGAGCGCGCAGGCGGUCGUUCAAGUCGAGUGUGAAAGCCCCCGGCUCAACUGGGGAGGGUCACUCGAUACUGAUCGACUUGAAGGCAGGAGAGGGAAGCGGAAUUCCAGGUGUAGCGGUGAAAUGCGUAGAUAUCUGGAGGAAUACCGGUGGCGAAGGCGGCAUCCUGGACCAUUACUGACGCUGAGGCGCGAAAGCUAGGGGAGCAAACGGG
rnacentral:rRNA from 1 species